rnacentral:rRNA from 1 species
GAUGAACGCUGGCGGCGUGCUUAACACAUGCAAGUCGAACGGAAAGGCCAUGAUUUUGUGUCGUGCUCGAGUGGCGAACGGGUGAGUAAAACAUGAGUAUACUGUCCUUGUAUUUGUGAUAAAUUCAGGAAACUGGGGAUAAUACAGGAUAGGAGCUUCUGAUGCAUGGUGGGGGAUGGAAAGUUGCGGCGGUUGGGGCUGGAAUAGCGGCUUAUCAGCUUGUUGGUGGGGUAGUGGCUUACCAAGGCUUUGACGGGUAGCCGGCCUGGGAGGGUGACCGGCCACAUUGGGACUGGGGUGCGGCCCAUACGCCGACGGGAGGAAGCAGUGGGGAAUAGUGCACAAUGGGCGGAAGCCGUAAGCAGCAACGUCGCGUGCGGGAUGACGGCUUUCGGGGUGGAAACCGCUUUCGCCUGUGACGAAGCAUGAUGAAGGUAAAUGGGUAAAGAAGCACCGGUAAAUUCCGG